UGUUUAUUUGAUGACCUAUAAUAAAUAAUUUCUGCCCAGUGAUAUUUCAACSGCCGCGGUAUUUUGACCGUGCAAAGGUAGCAUAAUCACUUGCCUUUUAAUUGGAGGCUAGAAUGAAUGAAUAAACACAAAUAUAACUUUACCCUAUAAUAAUAUAAAAAUUAUCCCUCAAGUGAAGAUACUUGAAUAAAAUAAAAAGACAAAAAGACCCUAUCAAGCUUCAUAUUAUUCCAUAACCGAUAUAGUUUAUAUUUGAUUGGGGCGAUAAUAGAGAAUUAACGUUCUCUCUAUAUAAAUAAGAACAAUAAUUCUACUUACUUAAUAAUUUAAAAAAAGAAAGCUACUGUAGGGAUAACAGGCUAAUAUUAUCUCAGAGUUCAAAUUAAAGAUAAUGAUUGGCACCUCGAUGUUGGCUUAGGUCCCUCCUCCCCGCAAACGGGGAGGUAGGCAGUUUGUUCAACUAUUAAACCCCU
rnacentral:rRNA from 1 species